UACGUAGGGUGCAAGCGUUGUCCGGAAUUAUUGGGCGUAAAGAGCUCGUAGGCGGUUCGUCGCGUCGGCUGUGAAAUCCCGAGGCUCAACCUCGGGUCUGCAGUCGAUACGGGCGGACUGGAGUUCGGCAGGGGAGACUGGAAUUCCUGGUGUAGCGGUGAAAUGCGCAGAUAUCAGGAGGAAUACCGAUGGCGAAGGCAGGUCUCUGGGCUGACACUGACGCUCAUGCACGAAAGCGUGGGGAGCAAACAGA
rnacentral:rRNA from 1 species